ensembl:lncRNA
AAUUAAUCAAAGAAUUUAAUGGAUCCAUUUUGUACAGUUCGGUAACAAAUAAUAGUUUAUAUAUAUAUAUUCCUUAAAAACCCGCACUCUCACAGCAAAUCGUGGGCGAACAGAGCGCUGCAGCACACGGCACUGGUGACACGAGAAAAUCCGCACAGCCAAAACCUGCAUGAAACCACUUUGGUCCGCCGGGGAGGGGAGGGGAAGAAGGCAAGGGGAUGCAAAUCAGCGGGCUUGUAAACGGGCCGGAGCAGGGCGGGCGCGGCGGGGGCGGUGUGUGGCCCGGAGCGGGGAGGCGGCGGCACCCCGGCCGAGGCGGGAGCGGCCCUCCCGAGGCCGAGGCGCCGGCGGCGCAGGCUGGGGCCCGCAGGCUGGGGCCCGCCGCCGGCCCACCCGCGCACUCCUCUGCCGCCGCCGAGCGCCUGGCUCGGCCUCGCCCGCUCGGCCUCCCCCGUGCCCCGGAGCGGCGCUCCCCGGCCCCGGCCGGGCGAGGGCCGCCCGCCGGCGCGCCCUAGCAGCGGGGCCGGGGCUCGCCGGGGGGGCGCGGCGGCGGCGGCGGCGGCGGCGGGGGGGCGGCGAGGGGCGCGGGGGGGCCGCGGAGCCCCGCGCCCUGACACACGUACCAUUCGCUCAGUUGUAGGGCUUGUCGCUGGUGUGGACGUGCGAGUGCUUCUUCCUGUCGCUGCUGUUGGCGAAGCGUCUGUCACAGCCCUCGAAUUCACAUUUGAACGGCUUCUCCCCUGCAGGAGGCAACGGGCGAGCACAGCCAUUAGCGACGGCGGCCGCGGGGCAGGAGCCGCGCAGCCCGGCACCCCCCCCCCCCCUCCCCCCCGCCCCUCAAGCCCGCACCGUCCCCGGGCCCCUCUCUCCGGCCCCGGCACGGCUCCUCUCCCCGGCGCAGCUCCCCGCCGGCCGCCGGCCGCCCCCCCCGCCCGCCCCCCGCCCUGCCCUUCGCCGCCCGCCCCGCCGAGCUCCCCCGGCGCCGCCGCCCCGUGCCCACCCGGCUGCGCAGCCGGCUCCGCAGCGGGAGCGCCCUGCCCGGCCAGCUUCUCCUCCCCCUUCCCCUGCCCUGUGUGUCGACGUGGGGGUUUGUGCAAAAGACAAAGCCCCGAGAUAAGGAAAACUUGGAGGCCAAGUGCUCGUUCCGAGCAAAGAACGUGUGCCGUCCCCGCAGACGCGGAUGUCCUGCAGAAAGAGUGGUCAGUGAUUUAUCCCUGGGACGGUCUUUACGUUAAAUACAUUCCUCACACUCCCCCAGGUGCACGUGGAAAUGUUAUUCAUAGCCCGGCUAGAUCACAUCUCUUCCACGCCGUUCGUGCACCGGUUACAAUCCCGUGGCAGAUCCGCAUCCCCCCUCCUUUCCCCGCUCCCCGGCGUGCUGGUACCGUGCGUUAAGGCACAACAUCUUUUCCAAAAGACGCUGAUUGUGGGGGGCAAAAGGAUAGAGCUUCAGCAGGAGGAUGACUAGGCCGGUGCACGGCACUGUCGCGAGGGUAGGAUUCCCUUUUCAUUUGAACCUACUCAGUCAUGGAAGGAAUUGCAAUCGGGAUUAAUUUGUCUCGUAAUAUGAUAAGUGACGUUAAGCAUAAUAGCAAUACAAUCGUGUUGCUGGAGUCGUGUGAAAGUUUAACCUCGGAUCGUGUGGACCGGGCAUGGUACACGAUACAGAGGACGUUUUCAAGGAAACAUGCCACAGUCAGCUUCGGGAUGAAAUGAUGACUACGUUAUUGUCGCUGAUAAUAGCGAACCGCAAAACCCUGCUCGCCAAGCAGCACCCGGGUCCUGCACCCACCGAGUGUGAAAAUAACCUCCUCACCCGUCAAAAGCCAAAAAGUAUCUGGGCGCAGAGGACACCACAAAAAUACACGGCCGAACCUUAAACGUGAAGUGCAAACAAAGCCACUGUGUUCACCAUCAUGGCGUAUGUGGUCGAAAGGACUUGCAAUAUUUGUAAAAGCUUCCAGGGGUUUUGGGGGGUUUCUUUUGGUUGGGGUUGUUGUUCCCCGUCCCGUCCCGUCCCCCCCCCCCCGCCCCCGAAUAUGUUGGGGCUUUUUUUUCCCCUCUCAGUUCGUCACGAUUAAAUUUCGGAGGGACGCAGCCCACCUCGUGCUCGGCUGCGAGCAGAGGCACAUAAAGGAAGGCAUUCCAAAUAUUUCACAUGAAUGCACUUUAUGCAAGGAGGGUGGGAAAAAGCUCAUGGCUCCGCGUUUAAAGUAUGUCCCUUCCGCACUGUAAGAAUCAAUGAGGAGCUCGCACAUCCUGCGCCGCUCACAUUUGUACAGAGGAUGGGUAAAUACCUGGCGUUAGAGAGAAGGGGGGAAGAGGUUAAACAUAAGGUCUCUCUGAAAACAACGCGGGCCCUGUAACCAAAUACCGUCGACAUACAGCGGUGCAUAUGCACAGACACACGCACGCAUAUAAUCUAAUUACAGUUUCACGUAAGGAAACAAUUUGACCUUCAGCGUCCAAGUUGAGACAACAAAUCAAGGAUAUUAGUGUAGUACAAGCAAGCAGUAAGUUAGGAGACCCCAGGGAAAGCCAUCCUCAUAAGCACUCUGCUUGUGCAAAGUGAGUUCCAUUCAGGUAAAAGCGGGCUGCGGCGCAUUCCGCGUCCCCGAGAGUUGAAAAAUGUUCAACUUCGCUUAACCCCCCGAAAGAGCCGCUGAAAAGUCCCUCCGUACAGUCGGGUUGCAAGUGGGAAGAGGGCAGCAUUUUCUCAGCUGCCCGGUCUGCAUUCUCUGAACGCCUCAAUAAAGAGGAGCCAUCCGAGCCAUUUGCAAGUAUUCCUUUCGCGAGAGCAGGUUUUCUUACGUGGAAAUCCCUACCCGGCAGGGAGAGGACAUUUUACAGGUCCCGGCUGCCGCAGCCGGGGCACGGAGGUGCAGCCACGCAGAAAGUUCCCCGGGCGAUGGAGGAGCGCAGGACCCGAACCGCCAUUUUACCCCCACACUUGUAGCUGGGCAAAAGUGUUCAGUGAAAUUCGGCUUGGAAAUUGUGGCAUAAUCCCCCGUCUCCGGGAGUGGAUUAAGGUAUUUACAAACUUCUCCGGGUGGGUGGAGGGAGGACGGGGGGGCCGGGGGGGGAGCCGGAGGUGGCGGCCCCCGGGCUGCGGGCGAGGCGCGGGGGCGGCGGGGGCCGCCCGGGAGGGAGAGGGGCUCCGUCCCACGCCUCGCACCAUUGUUCCUGGCCCGCUGGGAAGGCGGCGAAGCGAUCCCUGCCCGUCCCGCUCGUCCCGCUGCCGCCGCCGCCGCCUUCACGGCCUUAUCCUCCAACCUGGAAAAUUCGCACAUCGCCAGAAAUGCCUCUGCCUGCUCCCCAGCCUCGGAGAAAUCAGAAGUCAUUAAUAUUUGAGGAGGCAAUAAUUUUCCUGUUGAAUCUAGAACUGUCUUCAUGAAUAAUUCGUGGCGAGUUCUAUUAGGGUUUCAGAAACAUUGCGUUUUUGACAACUUCUGAGUGUUUAAUAGAAACGGUGGAACCAUAAAGGCCCUGCAGGAGUUUUCACAAUACAGCAAUUAAUCACCGGGAAAGUUAAAGCGAAAAGUACAGGCGCGCAGAAUGAUGUUUAAUAAACGCAACCCUCCGAUCUCGGGUUUGCCCUGAACCUGCCUCUCCGAUGUAGGUCAGUUUUCCCAAGAAUUUAACCAUUUUCUGCUUCAGAGACUUCAAACAGUGAGGCCGUUAAAGAGCAGUAAAAGUUUGUUUACUUAAGAAAAACACUGUCAUUAAGGGAUGAGCUCUCCCGGUUAAUGGCUGUACCUGUGCUGAUCUGCCAAGGAACUGGCUCGGAGACAAGUUAUGUGACCCGGGGAUACUCCUUUCUCCUCGAAAAAGGGGGCCGAGAAGGCAGCGGAGGAACACAACUUUGCUAUCGCCCCCCCUCCCCUGCACACAGACGAGCUAUUCAUAGAGCGAUGGAAAAAUAAUUAGGUGACGAGUGACGGUCGCUGUAAAAUCUCUGUGCUAUGUUUAGACGAUAGCGAUACGAAAUUAGUAUAUGUUCUGCAUAUUAUAUCACGUCGAGUUGUAGCAUAAAAAUGCAACUCCUGGAAGGUCGAGCCCUGCACCGAGCAUGGGGGAAGGGGAGUUUUAUGAACUGGAAGGCGAAAAAAAUCGUUUGGCUGUAAGCAGAUCUUACAAUAGGAUUAUGUAGUUUCCCUCGCAGUACAGAAGGCUGUACAGAAGGGAAUGGGAGGUGGAAAACCCUACACUGGAACAGAUUAAAUUUUCCAAAAGGGGCUUAUUUCUUAUCUUCUUCUUCUUCAGAGGGGAAAAAAAAAAAAAAAAAAAAAAAAAAAAAAAAAGCUCCAGCGCUACAGACUACAAACACCGGCUGCUAAACUAAUUAAUACAACUUCACAAGCUGCUCCUGGAAGUGUGAAAACUUUCUACGUGCAAUUUCAUUAAUUAUAAAUGCUUUCCUGGCCGGAAGAGUUCAAACGUAGUUUUGCAAGAUAGUCCACGGAGUUACUUUAUUUUCUGGUAACUAGAACUAACAGAUGUUUCUGACACAUGUCCCAAUUUCGCUUAACAGAUCUGCAAAUGACAUUUCAAAAUGUACAGGCCGAAACAAUACCGGGUUUUCUUCUCUCUCCUUUUUUUUUUUUCCCCUCCCGAGAAUCAGAACUUGCAGCUCCCCAUAUUUGCGAACGCAGAGAGUCGUUGGAAGGCAAUGCUCAUUAAAAAUGUCAGUGUUAUUCAGAUCAAACAUUUGAAACUCCCUCUGCCCAAAACAAAACUGUUGAACGAAAAGGUCGCAGCUGUGUUAUUCUCACAAUGUUCGAGCAGCAGCAUCUCAGCGACAUCAGUCAAAACUGACUAGACAAGUUGUAACUUCUAUUGUUCACUUUUAAUUUGUGAGCUUGCACAAUGAUUUCAUUUUUUCCCCCCAACUACUUUAAAUUGAAAAAAAAAAUCCUCGCCUGUG